rnacentral:lncRNA from 1 species
UUAAUCCUGUUGGACCGGGUCAGUCCAAUGGAUCGACCCAUUAGAUAUUUUAAUAUCUGUUACUUUGACUUGUGAUGAUGAAAAAGCAUGACAGUUGACCAAGGAUCCUGCCAUGCAUUAAUGUGGAUGGGAUCAUAACCGGCCGACGGUAGAAAACAGUGGCCAAAAGCAGUAGAUAAACCUGAUAUAGUCGGCAGGGCCCAUCAGAUCAGAGGGGGUGUCAGGUAGUAGUGGGUGGCACAGUAAUCCAAGCAAAGGUAAUAUAACUUAGCAAGGAAACCAUCGUAUGGAGGUAUGUUCUCUCAUAUAUUGAUUACUCAUAUUCUCCCAUACACACGACUGAGAUUUUAAUUCUCUCAAUACACUAGACCAUAUAUUCCUCCAUUGUUAACCUUGUGAACACGUACUAAUUCUCACGCCUGAGCUAUCCCCCGACGGAACCGCCGUCAAGCUUUCGGUGUUGACUGUGUUUACUGUGCAGGAUCAGGACGUCUUAUGUGAUUGGGACGUGGAGAAAGAUCUUGGCGUUAACAAGGUGUAAGUUAUGGUGGUGCGAGGCUUCAGGGUCGUGGUGAGACAACUCUUUUCGGUUUGUCUUUUCGACCUGUCGCCUUUUACUUUGGGAUGCUAGCCCCCACUUUUCUUUUUCACGGCGUCAUAUUGAAGGGUCAAAGCCUCGUUGAUAAACGUCAGCGAGCCCUUGGGCGAUGAUCUUGUCCUUUUUGGUUGUGUAGUCCUGUUGUUGUCGUAGGGUCUCGAAUAAGGCCUUCAUGUUCCUGAUUUAAUUGAGGUGCCGCCUCUCGUCAGACCUGGUGGUGUGAGAGUGGGAAGAUCUGGAUAUAAUCUCCCUCGGAUCUGGCCGUUUUUGGGGGUUAACUUGUCGCUCUAUUUCGGUUUGGGGGCCAGUCUUGUAUGGCUUUGUCGACCCUUUAUUUUGGAGGGUCGGGGUUACGAGAUUUAGUUUUUGUGGGGAGGGAUUUAUACUUUUGGGUUGGCCUUUGUUAGCCAUUUGGGAGGUUGGUAUGUAGGUUAUAUGCGUUCUCGAUGGCUAGAAUUUUGAAUGGUGCUGCAACACGAGGUUUUCAAGAUGGAGAUGGAGGUUGGGUUAGCUGUAGAAGGCACUCUUUCGAGCGCUGAUGUUAAACGUUUUUCUUUGUCCAGUUGGCUUCGAACAUGUGCAAAGAAAAUAAAACGGUGACUCGGUGUUGGCGUUAGGGGGUGCUUUUCGGCGUAAGAGUAAGUAUCAGGUCUUUGUGAGAAAUAGGUUAACAAUAGAGGUCCUUAGAGCUCAGAGAAUGAU